UACGUAGGGGGCAAGCGUUGUCCGGAUUUACUGGGCGUAAAGAGCGUGUAGGCGGCCAAGCAGGUCCGUUGUGAAAACUGGAGGCUUAACCUCCAGACGUCGACGGAAACCGCGUGGCUAGAGUCCGGAAGAGGAGAGUGGAAUUCCUGGUGUAGCGGUGAAAUGCGCAGAUAUCAGGAAGAACACCAAUGGCGAAGGCAGCUCUCGUGGGACGGUACUGACGCUGAGGCGACGAAAGCGUGGGGAGCGAACAGG
rnacentral:rRNA from 1 species